rnacentral:rRNA from 1 species
UACGGGGGGUGCGAGCGUUGUCCGGAAUCACUGGGCGUAAAGGGCGCGUAGGUGGCGUCGUAAGUCUGUGGUGAAAGCCCGGAGCUCAACUCCGGGUCUGCCGCGGAUACUGCGAGGCUUGAGUGCUGUAGAGGGGGGUAGAAUGCCGGGUGUAGCGGUGGAAUGCGUAGAGAUCCGGCAGAAGACCGGUGGCGAAGACGGCCCCCUGGGCAGUAACUGACACUGAGGCGCGACAGCGUGGGGAGCAAACAGG